CCCGACUUACCAACCCGAUGCAAACUGCGAAUACCGGAGAAUGUUAUCACGGGAGACACACGGCGGGUGCUAACGUCCGUCGUGAAGAGGGAAACAACCCAGACCGCCAGCUAAGGUCCCAAAGUCAUGGUUAAGUGGGAAACGAUGUGGGAAGGCCCAGACAGCCAGGAUGUUGGCUUAGAAGCAGCCAUCAUUUAAAGAAAGCGUAAUAGCUCACUGGUCGAGUCGGCCUGCGCGGAAGAUGUAACGGGGCUAAACCAUGCACCGAAGCUGCGGCAGCGACGCUUAUGCGUUGUUGGGUAGGGGAGCGUUCUGUAAGCCUGUGAAGGUGGCCUGUGAGGGUUGCUGGAGGUAUCAGAAGUGCGAAUGCUGACAUAAGUAACGAUAAAGCGGGUGAAAAGCCCGCUCGCCGGAAGACCAAGGGUUCCUGUCCAACGUUAAUCGGGGCAGGGUGAGUCGACCCCUAAGGCGAGGCCGAAAGGCGUAGUCGAUGGGAAACAGGUUAAUAUUCCUGUACUUGGUGUUACUGCGAAGGGGGGACGGAGAAGGCUAUGUUGGCCGGGCGACGGUUGUCCCGGUUUAAGCGUGUAGGCUGGUUUUCCAGGCAAAUCCGGAAAAUCAAGGCUGAGGCGUGAUGACGAGGCACUACGGUGCUGAAGCGACAAAUGCCCUGCUUCCAGGAAAAG
rnacentral:rRNA from 1 species